rnacentral:rRNA from 1 species
UACGAAGGGGGCUAGCGUUGCUCGGAAUUACUGGGCGUAAAGCGCACGUAGGCGGCUUUCUAAGUCGGGGGUGAAAUCCUGGAGCUCAACUCCAGAACUGCCUUCGAUACUGGAGAGCUCGAGUCCGGGAGAGGUGAGUGGAACUGCGAGUGUAGAGGUGAAAUGCGCAGAUAUCAGGAGGAACACCAGUGGCGAAGGCGGUUCUCUGGGCCUUACCUGACGCUGAGGAGCGAAGGCGUGGGGAGCAAACAGG